rnacentral:misc_RNA from 1 species
GAAAUGCGAUAAGUAAUGUGAAUUGCAGAAUUCAGUGAAUCAUCGAAUCUUUGAACGCACCUUGCGCCCCUUGGCUAUUCCGAGGGGCAUGCCUGUUUGAGUAUCAUGAACACCUCAACUCUCAUGGUUCGCCAUGACGAGCUUGGACUUUGGGGGUUUUGCUGGCCAGCGGUCGGCUCCUCUCAAAUGCAUCAGCUUGCCAGUGUUCGGCGGCAUCACGGGUGUGAUAACUAUCUACGCUUGUGGUCGUCUGCUGGGUGACCUUCAGCGAUGGAGGUCCGCUGGAGCUUACAAACGUCUCUCCUCAGCGGAGACAGCCUUGAACGUUCGAUCUCAAAUCAGGUAGGACUACCCGCUGAACUUAA